AACUUUGCCGGUUUUGGUCGACAUGGCAGCACCACUCAGUAUUUGAAGAUUUGUUGGCUGCAGAUCCAUGAUUCCACUCUGGUGCGGUCAGAGGACUAAAACCGGAAAAGCUGGGAACUCUGGAAUGACGAAGGGCUGGACAUGGUCAGCCAGAAAACUCAGCUGCUGUGGUUCUCUUUCACACUGCACUGUGUCGGACCAACCAAACGCUUUGAAAAACCUGUUCC